AUCGUGCCCAGGCAGGGGAGAUACCAUGAUUGCAAAGGUUUUUUCCCCCGGGGUGGGGUUUACCCAUUGCACUUUGGAUGUGCUGACCCUCCUGAUUUCCCCAAAUGUGGGAAACUCGGCUGCAUAAUGUGUGGCAGUGGGAACAUGCAUUCACUCUUUUCCCU